GACGAACGCUGGCGGCGUGCUUAACACAUGCAAGUCGAACGGAAAGGCCCUGCUUUUGUGGGGUGCUCGAGUGGCGAACGGGUGAGUAACACGUGAGUAACCUGCCCUUGACUUUGGGAUAACUUCAGGAAACUGGGGCUAAUACCGGAUAGGAGCUCCUGCUGCAUGGUGGGGGUUGGAAAGUUUCGGCGGUUGGGGAUGGACUCGCGGCUUAUCAGCUUGUUGGUGGGGUAGUGGCUUACCAAGGCUUUGACGGGUAGCCGGCCUGAGAGGGUGACCGGCCACAUUGGGACUGAGAUACGGCGCAGACUCCUACGGGAGGCAGCAGUGGGGAAUAUUGCACAGUGGGCGGAAGCCUGAUGCAGCAACGCCGCGUGCGGGAUGACGGCCUUCGGGUUGUAAACCGCUUUCGCCUGUGACGAAGCGUGAGUGACGGUAAUGAGCAAAGAAGCACCGGCUAACUACGUG
rnacentral:rRNA from 1 species